rnacentral:lncRNA from 1 species
GAGAGUAUUACCUUUCUGACAACAACAAGUUUGAGAGAGGAGUUUGUAAAAGUGAAAAUUCACUUGUUUUCAAAUCCGAAAAAGAUUGUCAUAAUGUAAUAUUUACGUUAUUUAUUUUGAAAUAAAAUAUUGUUUACACUCACAACAAUUAGAAAUGCCAAUUGAUAUCAAAUAAGAUGUAAUUAAAAAAAAAACUAAAUUAAAAUCACUACUCGAUUAUUCCAGAUCUCAUACUACUAUC